ensembl:rRNA 5S_rRNA 5S ribosomal RNA
AUCUACGGCCAUGCCACCCUGGACAAGCUUGAUCCCAUCUGAUCUUGGAAGCUAAGUAGGGACAGGCCUGGUUAGUACUUGGAUGGGAGACUACCUAGGAAGACCAGGUGUGGUAGGCA